rnacentral:rRNA from 1 species
GAUGAACGCUGGCGGCGUGCCUAAUACAUGCAAGUCGAGCGAACAGACGAGGAGCUUGCUCCUCUGACGUUAGCGGCGGACGGGUGAGUAACACGUGGAUAACCUACCUAUAAGACUGGGAUAACUUCGGGAAACCGGAGCUAAUACCGGAUAAUAUAUUGAACCGCAUGGUUCAAUAGUGAAAGACGGUUUUGCUGUCACUUAUAGAUGGAUCCGCGCCGCAUUAGCUAGUUGGUAAGGUAACGGCUUACCAAGGCGACGAUGCGUAGCCGACCUGAGAGGGUGAUCGGCCACACUGGAACUGAGACACGGUCCAGACUCCUACGGGAGGCAGCAGUAGGGAAUCUUCCGCAAUGGGCGAAAGCCUGACGGAGCAACGCCGCGUGAGUGAUGAAGGUCUUCGGAUCGUAAAACUCUGUUAUUAGGGAAGAACAAAUGUGUAAGUAACUAUGCACGUCUUGACGGUACCUAAUCAGAAAGCCACGGCUAAC